GGGGGCGUAGCUCAGUUGGGAGAGCACUUGAAUGGCAUUCAAGGGGUCAUGGGUUCAAGUCCCACCGUCUCCA
rnacentral:tRNA from 1 species